UACAGAGGGGGCAAGCGUUAUUCGGAAUUAUUGGGCGUAAAGGGCGCGUAGGCGGCUUGGCAAGUGGAUGGUGAAAUCCCUCGGCUUAACCGAGGAACUGCCGUCCAAACUGCUUCGCUUGAGACCGGGAGAGGUGAGUGGAAUUCCCAGUGUAGCGGUGAAAUGCGUAGAUAUUGGGGAGGAACACCAGUGGCGAAGGCGGCUCACUGGACCGGUACUGACGCUGAGGCGCGAAAGCGUGGGAGCAACGGG
rnacentral:rRNA from 1 species